rnacentral:rRNA from 1 species
ACGCUCGACACCUACCGGAGGCAGCAGUGGGGAAUAUUGCACAAUGGGGGAAACCCUGAUGCAGCGACGCCGCGUGAGUGAAGAAGUAUUUCGGUAUGUAAAGCUCUAUCAGCAGGGAAGAAAAUGACGGUACCUGACUAAGAAGCCCCGGCUAACUACGUACCAGCAGCCGCGGUAAUCUGAGCGGGCUGGCAAGGC